GGAGCGUUAGCUUAAUGGUAAAGCCGUGACCUCAUAAGUCAUUAACUAAAGGUUCGAGUCCUUUACGUUCCA
rnacentral:tRNA from 1 species